GAUGAACGCUGGCGGCGUGCCUAAUACAUGCAAGUCGAGCGAACGGACGAGAAGCUUGCUUCUCUGAUGUUAGCGGCGGACGGGUGAGUAACACGUGGAUAACCUACCUAUAAGACUGGGAUAACUUCGGGAAACCGGAGCUAAUACCGGAUAAUAUUUUGAACCGCAUGGUUCAAAAGUGAAAGACGGUCUUGCUGUCACUUAUAGAUGGAUCCGCGCUGCAUUAGCUAGUUGGUAAGGUAACGGCUUACCAAGGCAACGAUGCAUAGCCGACCUGAGAGGGUGAUCGGCCACACUGGAACUGAGACACGGUCCAGACUCCUACGGGAGGCAGCAGUAGGGAACCUUCCGCAAAGGGCGAAAGCCUGACGGAGCAACGCCGCGUGAGUGAUGAAGGUCUUCGGAUCGUAAAACUCUGUUAUUAGGGAAGAACAUAAGUGUAAGUAACUGUUCACAUCUUGACGGUACCUAAUCAGAAAGCCACGGCUAACUACGUG
rnacentral:rRNA from 1 species